AGAGAGAGACAUGCGCGCAUAUCAAUAAGCGGAGGAAAAGAAACUAACAAGGAUUCCCCUAGUAACGGCGAGUGAAGCGGGAAGAGCUCAAAUUUGAAAUCUUAAAGGGUUUCCCUUUACGAAUUGUAGUUUAAAGAAGUGUUUUCUGUUGAGGUUUUGGUAAAAGUUCUUUGGAAUAGGACAUCAUAGAGGGUGAGAAUCCCGUAUUUGACCUUUACUUUCAACUUUGUGAUACACUUUCAAAGAGUCGGAUUGUUUGGGAAUGCAGUCCAUAAUGGGUGGUAAAUUUCAUCUAAAGCUAAAUAUUGGCGAGAGACCGAUAGCGAACAAGUACCGUGAGGGAAAGAUGAAAAGAACUUUGAAAAGAGAGUUAAACAGUACGUGAAAUUGUCAAAAGGGAAGCGUUUGACACCAGUGUUGUUUUUCUGAAAAUCAAUUAAAGAACUGUUUAUGCUAAGCUGUUUAGACUUUAUCAGCUAUCUGUUUAGUUUUGAGCUUUUCUUUAAUGCACUUUUCAGUUAACAAGUCAACAUCAAUUUCUUUUGCUGUAAAAAAGCUUGAGGAAGGUGGCUUGAGAUUCGUCUUAAGUGUUUAUAGCCUCUUGCCUAUGCAGUCGGAGAGAUUGAGGUCUGCAGCGUAGAUCCUUCGGGGCUAAAUGCAUUUGUGCUAAGUUAUAACAUUUUAUAGACAACUUGUUGACUAUGAUUUGUCUUGUAGCUUACUCGCUUAUGUUAUUUUACCUACGCUUAGGAUGUUGACGCAUGAGAUAUACGC
rnacentral:rRNA from 1 species